GAUGAACGCUGGCGGCGUGCAUAACACAUUCAAGUCGAACGGAGCAGCAAUGCUUAGUGGCGGACGGGUGAGUAACGCGUGAGCAACCUGCCCUUGUGUGGGGGAUAACGUUUGGAAACGAACGCUAAUACCGCAUAACGCAUCGGAAUCGCAUGUUUCUGAUGCCAAAGAUUUAUUGCGCAAGGAUGGGCUCGCGUCUGAUUAGCUAGUUGGUGAGGUAACGGCUCACCAAGGCGACGAUCAGUAGCCGGUCUGAGAGGAUGAACGGCCACAUUGGGACUGAGACACGGCCCAGACUCCUACGGGAGGCAGCAGUGGGGAAUAUUGGGCAAUGGGGGAAACCCUGACCCAGCAACGCCGCGUGAAGGAAGAAGGCCU
rnacentral:rRNA from 1 species